GACGAACGCUGGCGGCGUGCUUAACACAUGCAAGUCGAACGGAAAGGCCCUGCUUGCAGGGUACUCGAGUGGCGAACGGGUGAGUAACACGUGGGUGAUCUGCCCUGCACUUCGGGAUAAGCUUGGGAAAAUGGGUCUAAUACCGGAUAGGAACCAUCUUUAGUGUGGUGGUUGGAAAGUUUUUUCGGUGUAGGAUGAGCUCGCGGCCUAUCAGCUUGUUGGUGGGGUAAUGGCCUACCAAGGCGGCGACGGGUAGCCGGCCUGAGAGGGUGUACGGCCACAUUGGGACUGAGAUACGGCCCAGACUCCUACGGGAGGCAGCAGUGGGGAAUAUUGCACAAUGGGCGCAAGCCUGAUGCAGCGACGCCGCGUGGGGGAUGAAGGCCUUCGGGUUGUAAACUCCUUUCGCUAGGGACGAAGCUUUUUGUGACGGUACCUAGAGAAGAAGCACCGGCUAACUACGUG
rnacentral:rRNA from 1 species